rnacentral:lncRNA from 1 species
ACAGUAGAAUUAGGGAUACCUCGGUAUCCACUUAAAAAAAAGAAGAGAGAAGAAAAAGAAAUGAUAGCCCAUGGUCCCUCUAAUAAGCAAUAUGCCAGCAAGAGUUGACAAAGAUUUUAAUUUCCAAAGUCUUUGAUCUAAGAGUAUGACAUUCCCCUCCUCGGAUCCCGUUUUGAUCAGGCAAUAAAUGCAAAGUAAGUAUGCUUGAGAAUUUUUUUUUUGAAAAUUAAAACAGCCUC